rnacentral:rRNA from 1 species
CCUACGGGAGGCAGCAGUGAGGAAUAUUGGUCAAUGGGCGGGAGCCUGAUCCAGCCAAGCCGCGUGAGGGAAGAAGGUACAGCGUAUCGUAAACCUCUUUUGUCAGGGAACAAAGGCGGGGACUAGUCCCCGGAUGAGGGUACCUGAAGAAAAAGCAUCGGCUAACUCCGUGCCAGCAGCCGCGGUAAUACGGAGGAUGCGAGCGUUAUCCGGAUCUAUUGGGGUUAAAGGGUGCGCAGGGGGCAUGUUAAGUCAGCGGUAAAAGCCCGGGGCUCAACCCCGGCGAGCCGUUGAAACUGGCGGGCUUGAGUUGGAGAGAGGUACGCGGAAUGCGCGGUGUAGCGGUGAAAUGCUUAGAUAUCGCGCAGAACCCCGGUUGCGAAGGCAGCGUACCGGCUCCACACUGACGCUGAGGCACGAAAGCGUGGGUAUCGAACAGGAUUAGAUACCCCAGUAGUC